ACUUUGGUGGUUUAGCAGCAGAAUUCUUACCUCCCAUGUAGGAGACCCAGGUUCAAUUCCUGGCCAAUGUA
rnacentral:tRNA from 1 species